rnacentral:rRNA from 1 species
CCUACGGGAGGCUGCAGUGAGGAAUAUUGGUCAAUGGGCGCGAGCCUGAACCAGCCAAGUCGCGUGAAGGAUGACUGCCCUACGGGUUGUAAACUUCUUUUAUAAAGGAAUAAAGUGAGGCACGUGUGCCCUUUUGUAUGUACCUUAUGAAUAAGGACCGGCCAACCCCGUGCCAGCAGCCGCGGUAAUACGGAGGAUCCGGGGGUUUUCCGGUUUUAUUGGGGUUAAAGGGAGCGUAGAUGGGUUGUUAAGUAGGUUGUGAAAGUUUGCGGCUCAACCGUAAAAUUGCAAUUGAUACUGGCAGUCUUGAGUACAGUUGAGGUAGGCGGAAUUCGUGGUGUAGCGGUGAAAUGCUUAGAUAUCACGAAGAACUCCGAUUGCGAAGGCAGCUUACUGGACUGCAACUGACGUUGAUGCUCGAAAGUGUGGGUAUCAAACAGGAUUAGAUACCCCUGUAGUC